rnacentral:rRNA from 1 species
UAGGGAAUCUUCGGCAAUGGGGGGAACCCUGACCGAGCAACGCCGCGUGAGUGAAGAAGGUUUUCGGAUCGUAAAGCUCUGUUGUUAAGGAAGAACGAGUGUGAGAAUGGAAAGUUCAUGCUGUGACGGUACCUAACCAGAAAGCCACGGCUAACUACGUGCCAGCAGCCGCGGUAAUACGUAGGUGGCAAGCGUUGUCCGGAAUUAUUGGGCGUAAAGCGCGCGCAGGUGGUUUAGAAAGUCUGAUGUGAAAGCCCACGGCUCAACCGUGGAGGGUCAUUGGAAACUAAUAAACUUGAGUGCAGGAGAGAAAAGUGGAAUUCCUAGUGUAGCGGUGAAAUGCGUAGAGAUUAGGAGGAACACCGGUGGCGAAAGCGGCUUUUUGGCCUGCAACUGACACUGAGGCGCGAAAGCGUGGGGAGCAAACAGG